rnacentral:rRNA from 1 species
GACGAACGCUGGCGGCGUGCUUAACACGUGCAAGUCGAACGAUGAAGCCGGAGCUUGCUCUGGUGAAUUAGUGGCAACGGGUGAGUAACACGUGAGUAACCUGCCCUUGACUCUGGGAUAACUGCGGGAAACUGUAGCUAAUACCGGAUACGACCCUCGGAGGCAUCCCCUGGGGGUGGAAAGAAUUUCGGUCAAGGAUGGACUCGAGGCCUAUCAGCUAGUUGGUGAGGUAAAGGCUCACCAAGGCGACGACGGGUAGCCGGCCUGAGAGGGUGACCGGCCACACUGGGACUGAGACACGGCCCAGACUCCUACGGGAGGCAGCAGUGGGGAAUAUUGCACAAUGGGCGCAAGCCUGAUGCAGCAACGCCGCGUGAGGGAUGACGGCCUUCGGGUUGUAAACCUCUUUUAGCAGGGAAGAAGCGAAAGUGACGGUACCUGCAGAAAAAGCACCGGCUAACUACGUGCCAGCCGCCGCCGUAA